CACCCGUCCGUUCCUAAAUCGUUACGCAUUAGAUUUGAUGAACAGCCCCUUUGCAUGGUCAAACUUGGUAUGAAAAAUGCGUUGUUGAUGGAAAUAUUCAAAAACAGGACUGCUCUUGCACAGAAGCACGUUAAAUCAGUAGAGUCGUAAAAAUCAAUAUCAGUUUGAAAGAGGCAGCAAACGAUCUGUCUAAGCUUCACCAGAAUUUCCCCCCACCCUACCAAAAAGUCUAUCUACAUCUAGGAAGACGGGGCAUUUAAACCCCCCCUCGUCCCCUAAUAGCCACACUCCUUUUUAUUUUAUACAAAGUACCGUUUUCAGGGAUUAACGUGAUAGCAAGGGCUGUCGAGAAACAUAACCAUGGAAACAAAUCGACAUGCAGGUCGCAAAAUUAAACGAGUGAUCAAUUUUUCUUAUCCUAUAAAAUUCUAGUGAUGUUGAGGGUCUUUUGACAAAGUAUUAAAGACGUACACGAGUGUACCCCACUAAAAAUCGGAGAUGACCCUUAAAAUGAUAACCGCCGUCUCAUAGAAUGAGUCUUUGUGACCAAUACUGGUUAUUCAACCCAUGAUUGACACUUAGAAUGGAAUUUUCACGCAAAUCUUGGAAAACUACCGAAUUCGUAGCUAUGGUAACACGGAGCAUCUUUUCGUCUAUGAUCCGCUGAGGUCCGGCGUAAAUCGGAACUCUUUCCGAUGGCUACCCAUUCGGAUGACGAAACCGAUCCGUUGCGAAGACAACCAUCUCAACAGCCAACCCAAGCUUCUUCGGCCUCCUCCAAUGGCGCCAAUUCGACUCAAGAAGCCUCAUUUAAAGUGCCACUCAUCCCCGCUACGUCCCUUUUGGGUCGCAAUGCCAAUGAUCGUCCGAUCCUGCGGUCCUCAGUUCAAGGGCUCACAAACCUUAUGGCAUCCCCGCCAAGUCGUAGCACCGACGACCAUUCAAUCCUGCAAACUCCUGUUGAAGUGCCACCAAUCCCAUUAACGUCCCUUUUGGGUCACAGUGCCAAUGCUUGUCCGAUUCUGCCAUCCUCAGUUCAAGGGCCAACAAACCCUAUGACAUCCCCGCCAGGUCGUAGCACCGACGACCAUUCAAUCCUGCAAACCUCUGUUGAAGUGCCACUUAUCCCCGCUACGUCCCUUUUGGGUCGCAGUGCCAAUGAUCGUCCGAUCCUGCGGUCCUCAGUUCAAGGGCAAACAAACCCUAUAACAUCCCUGCCAGAUCGUAGCGCCGACGACAAUUCAAUCCUGCAAACCCCUGUUAAUGUGCCACCAAUCCCCUCGACGUCCCUUUUAGGUCGCAAUGCCAGUGAUCGUCCAAUUCUGCCAUCCUCAGUUCAAGGGCCAACUAACCCUAUGACAUCCCCGCCAGGUCGUAGCACCGACGACCAUUCAAUCCCGCAAACCUCUGUUGAAGUGCCACCAAUCCCUCGGACUUCCCAUCUGGGUCGCAGAACCGACAAAAUAUCGACCCUACAAACUCCAGCUGAAGUGUCAUCACCAGUACUACCAGCCUCUCAACCAGGUCGGAAUGUGAAUGACCAUUCAGUCCUACAAGCCUCGGUUGAAGUGCCAUCAGUUCCUCCGCAAGGUCCUAGAACCAGCAAAAUCUCGCUCCGGCGAGCCUCAGUCAAAGUCCCACCAGCCUCUCCGACCUCCCCAAAACGUCGUAGCCCUGACAAAAUCCCGAUCCUUCAAGCUUCCGUCGAAGUACAACCAGUCUCCCCGACUUUCCUACCAGGUCGUAGCAUAGACAUCCAGCCCUGCGCAACACCCACAAACUCGCGAUCCGAUGCGCCUCCAGGCGGAAGCAUCAGCGCGACAUCUAGCGGCGUGCUCCGCGAACUGUGUUUGCAGAACCUCCCACCGGAGAUCGUAUCGAUUAUCCUGGGCUUCGUGAGCGAGGACGAGCUUUGGCGGGUGCGGAACCUGUGCCACGCCUUCAAGGCGGUCUACGAGUCCUCGGUGCGGUUGAAGCUGCUCCGACUUCUACCGCAUAUCAAGUCGCUCAUCACGGCGCAGAUGGAGACGGUCGAAAACUCGAUGUUCUCGCAAGAGCAGUUGCGGCUGAGCCAAGCGCGGAAGAUGCUUCUGCUUAAGUAUACCUAUCGGGAGGCGCUCAUGUUCACGGCGAUGGUCUGGCGGCAGUCCUUCGACCCGGGCGCCUGGAGUGCCGUUUGCCACUCGGCCUCCCGUGUUUUGCGGGAGUUCUACUCGCUCGCUGACGGGGCCGCCACCUGGGCGAGGAUCCUCGACUUCUCGUCCUUCUACCACCGCCUCCAGGCUUGGUACGCCUUUCAGAACACCUACACGGCGCAGAUCGAACCACUACUCGCUGAGGAUCCCAAUGCCGAGACCGUUCCGUUUUCUGUCCAGGUGGUGGACGUGCUGGAGUGCGCCCUGUUCUCCAACUGGGAGUCCUCGAUCGAGCUGAGCCCGAGCCCCCGUCGGACCCGGAAGACUUCGGCGACCCCGUCGGAGCCCCGUUUCGACGUGGAGUACUGGAUGCGGAUGCGCGGGGAGGAGUCGCGGCGCGGCGGGUGCCGCGGCUCGGCCAUGCUCGCCCUGACGGCGUUCCUGGACCGGGCCGACGGGACGCGCCCCUCCCAGCGCGCCGCCCUCCUCCGCUUCCUCCGCCGCGCCGUCGCCGACAACACCCUCGCCGAGUUCAACCGCAUCCUCGACGAGCUCGAGCCCCUCGAGGUCAACGUCGCCAGGUCCCACAGCUUCGCCAUCCCCGACCAGAUGGUCGCAGAGAUGAGCCGCGUCUACGCCAAGGUCUUUCAGGAGUACCCGCAACCGUGGCCCUCGCUGCGGCGAAGCGAGAUGGAGCCGGGCUACCGGCUGACGCGCCACGCGGACUACGACAUGACGCAGUCGCAGACCCAAGUGCGGCUCAGCGUGAGGGGCGUCCCGCAGCACCUGCUCCCGCUCAGCUGGACGCAGGAGUCGCUAAGAGGUGCGGUGCGCCUGGCGCCCCCUCGGCGCCCACCCCAGGCGCCCGCCCGGCCGGCCCGCAUCGAGACCCCGCGGCGCCCCCGCAAGGGGCCCAGCAACGUCCUCACCAUCGAGACGACCCGCCAAGAGCGACGCGACCGAUUCCUCAAGAGCUCUAUCACCGUUCGCGGUCUCGACCAGGAUCUUAAAAUCACUAGGAGAACCAAGUGCUUCAAGCUACUUUGACACCCGUAACAUCGGUGAAUGGGUUAUUGCGUCCGUUGUGAUUGAAGGCGCCCCACUUGGGUCUAUCUCUCGUGAAAUGGUGUUUGGUUGGAGACCGUUCGCGGUCUCGACCAAGAACUUAAAAUCACCAGGAGAACCAAGUGCUUCAAGCUACUUGGACACCCGUAACAUUGGUGAAUGAAUGAUUGCAUCCGUUGUGAUUGAAGGCGUUCUACUCAAGUCUAUCUCUCGUGGAAUGAAACGGCUGGUUGAUGAUAUUUUGGAACAGAUCUUUGAAUCACCAAAAGAGCUCAAUACUGCAAGCUGUUCUGCCCGAGCCCCAUGAGCGCUAUCGGUGAAUUGGUGUUGCAUCUGUCAUGAUUGAAGGCGCUCUACUCAAGUCUCUCGUGGAAUGACACGGCUGGUUGAUGGCAUUUUGGACCGUCCUUUGAAUGCUAUCCAAUCAUUCAAGUUAUUCUGCCUCAGCCCCAUGUGCAUCAUCAGUAAAUUGGUGUUGCAAGAUGCACGACUGGUGUUACAGUGCUGCUGACUGUCCCAUGUUUCUUGAGUAUUUUAUACCAUAUGUAUGGACUUGUUAUCGAC